rnacentral:lncRNA from 1 species
CAAUUUCACUCGAAACAAGCUGACGAGUUUGUCCAGGAGACAUUUCCGCCACCUUGACUUGUCUGACCUGAUCCUGACGGGUAAUCCGUUCACGUGUUCCUGUGACAUCAUGUGGCUCAAGACUCUCCAGGAGACGAAAUCCAGCCCCGACACUCAGGAUUUGUAUUGCCUCAAUGAGAGCAGCAAGAAUACCCCUCUGGCGAACCUGCAGAUUCCCAAUUGUGCUCCUGCUUCCUGACCUGCUUGAGUUCCAGUCCUGACUUCCUGUGGUGAUGAACAGCAAUGUGGAAGUGUAAGCUGAAUAAACCCUUUCCUCCCC